rfam:Triticum aestivum genome assembly, contig: Triticum_aestivum_CS42_TGACv1_scaffold_577203_7BL
GCAUGAAGGGUGUAGUAAGUGACGAAAUGCUUCGGGGAGUUUAAAAUAAGCACAGACCCGAGAUUUCCAAGUAGGUCAACCUUUUGAACUACCUACUGAAUGCAUGAGCGGGCAAGAGACAACCUAGCAAACUGAGACAUCUUAGUAGGCAAAGAAAAAGAAAGGGUAAUG